rnacentral:rRNA from 1 species
AUUGAACGCUGGCGGCAGGCCUAACACAUGCAAGUCGAACGAGGGGCGGACGGGUGAGGAAUGUCUGGGAAACUGCGCGAGGGAGGGGGAGAACGACUGGAAACGGUAGCUAAUACCGCAUACCAUCGGAGGUGCCCAGAUGGGAUUAGCUAGUAGGUGGGGGAACGGCUCACCUAGGCGACGAUCCCUACCUGGUGUGCGAGGAUGACCAGCCACACUGGAACUGAGACACGGUCCAGACUCCUACGGGAGGCAGCAGUGGGGAAUAUUGCACAAUGGGCGCAAGCCUGAUGCAGCCAUGCCGCGUGUGUGAAGAAGGCCUUCGGGUUGUAAAGUACUUUCAGCGAGGAGGCGUUACUCGCAGAAGAAGCACCGGCUAACUCCGUGCCAGCAGCCGCGGUAAUAC